rnacentral:rRNA from 1 species
UCUUGGCUCAGGACGAACGCUGGCGGCGUGCCUAAUACAUGCAAGUCGAGCGGACAGAAGGGAGCUUGCUCCCGGAUGUUAGCGGCGGACGGGUGAGUAACACGUGGGUAACCUGCCUGUAAGACUGGGAUAACUCCGGGAAACCGGAGCUAAUACCGGAUAGUUCCUUGAACCGCAUGGUUCAAGGAUGAAAGACGGUUUCGGCUGUCACUUACAGAUGGACCCGCGGCGCAUUAGCUAGUUGGUGAGGUAACGGCUCACCAAGGCGACGAUGCGUAGCCGACCUGAGAGGGUGAUCGGCCACACUGGGACUGAGACACGGCCCAGACUCCUACCGGAGUCUGCAGUAGGGAGUUCUCCGCAAUGGACGCAAGUCGGAGCAGAACACGCCGCGGGAGUAAUGAAGGCUUCCGAUCCGUAAAGCUUUGUUGUUAAGGAAGAACAAGGCAAGAGGUAACUGCUUUGCCCCUUGGACGGUAACUAUCAAGAAAGGCACGGCUAACUACGUGGCAGCAGCCGCGGGUAUUACGUAAGUGGCAAGCGUUGUUCCGGAAAUUUAUUGGCCGUAAGGGCUCGGCAGGCGGUUUCUUAAGUUCUGAUGUGAAAGCCCCCGGCUCAACCGGGGAGGGUCAUUGGAAACUGGGAAACUUGAGUGCAGAAGAGGAGAGUGGAAUUCCACCGUGUAGCGGUGAAAUGCGUAGAGAUGUGGAGGAACACCAGUGGCGAAGGCGACUCUCUGGUCUGUAACUGACGCUGAGGAGCGAAAGCGUGGGGAGCGAACAGGAUUAGAUACCCUGGUAGUCCACGCCGUAAAACGAUGAGUGCUAAGUGUUAGGGGGUUUCCGCCCCUUAGUGCUGCAGCUAACGCAUUAAGCACUCCGCCUGGGGAGUACGGUCGCAAGACUGAAACUCAAAGGAAUUGACGGGGGCCCGCACAAGCGGUGGAGCAUGUGGUUUAAUUCGAAGCAACGCGAAGAACCUUACCAGGUCUUGACAUCCUCUGACAACCCUAGAGAUAGGGCUUUCCCUUCGGGGACAGAGUGACAGGUGGUGCAUGGUUGUCGUCAGCUCGUGUCGUGAGAUGUUGGGUUAAGUCCCGCAACGAGCGCAACCCUUGAUCUUAGUUGCCAGCAUUCAGUUGGGCACUCUAAGGUGACUGCCGGUGACAAACCGGAGGAAGGUGGGGAUGACGUCAAAUCAUCAUGCCCCUUAUGACCUGGGCUACACACGUGCUACAAUGGACAGAACAAAGGGCUGCGAGACCGCAAGGUUUAGCCAAUCCCACAAAUCUGUUCUCAGUUCGGAUCGCAGUCUGCAACUCGACUGCGUGAAGCUGGAAUCGCUAGUAAUCGCGGAUCAGCAUGCCGCGGUGAAUACGUUCCCGGGCCUUGUACACACCGCCCGUCACACCACGUGAGUUUGCAACACCCGAAGUCGGUGAGGUAACCAUUA